rnacentral:rRNA from 1 species
GUGGCGAACGGGUGAGUAACACGUGAGCAACCUGCCCUGGACUCUGGGAUAAGCGCUGGAAACGGCGUCUAAUACUGGAUACGAGACGUGGCCGCAUGGUCAACGUUUGGAAAGAUUUUUCGGUCUGGGAUGGGCUCGCGGCCUAUCAGCUUGUUGGUGAGGUAAUGGCUCACCAAGGCGUCGACGGGUAGCCGGCCUGAGAGGGUGACCGGCCACACUGGGACUGAGACACGGCCCAGACUCCUACGGGAGGCAGCAGUGGGGAAUAUUGCACAAUGGGCGGAAGCCUGAUGCAGCAACGCCGCGUGAGGGAUGACGGCCUUCGGGUUGUAAACCUCUUUUAGCAGGGAAGAAGCGAAAGUGACGGUACCUGCAGAAAAAGCGCCGGCUAACUACGUGCCAGCAGCCGCGGUAAUACGUAGGGCGCAAGCGUUAUCCGGAAUUAUUGGGCGUAAAGAGCUCGUAGGCGGUUUGUCGCGUCUGCUGUGAAAUCCCGAGGCUCAACCUCGGGCCUGCAGUGGGUACGGGCAGACUAGAGUGCGGUAGGGGAGAUUGGAAUUCCUGGUGUAGCGGUGGAAUGCGCAGAUAUCAGGAGGAACACCGAUGGCGAAGGCAGAUCUCUGGGCCGUAACUGACGCUGAGGAGCGAAAGGGUGGGGAGCAAACAGGCUUAGAUACCCUGGUAGUCCACCCCGUAAACGUUGGGAACUAGUUGUGGGGUCCUUUCCACGGAUUCCGUGACGCAGCUAACGCAUUAAGUUCCCCGCCUGGGGAGUACGGCCGCAAGGCUAAAACUCAAAGGAAUUGACGGGGACCCGCACAAGCGGCGGAGCAUGCGGAUUAAUUCGAUGCAACGCGAAGAACCUUACCAAGGCUUGACAUACACGAGAACGGGCCAGAAAUGGUCAACUCUUUGGACACUCGUGAACAGGUGGUGCAUGGUUGUCGUCAGCUCGUGUCGUGAGAUGUUGGGUUAAGUCCCGCAACGAGCGCAACCCUCGUUCUAUGUUGCCAGCACGUUAUGGUGGGAACUCAUGGGAUACUGCCGGGGUCAACUCGGAGGAAGGUGGGGAUGACGUCAAAUCAUCAUGCCCCUUAUGUCUUGGGCUUCACGCAUGCUACAAUGGCCGGUACAAAGGGCUGCAAUACCGUGAGGUGGAGCGAAUCCCAAAAAGCCGGUCCCAGUUCGGAUUGAGGUCUGCAACUCGACCUCAUGAAGUCGGAGUCGCUAGUAAUCGCAG